rnacentral:rRNA from 1 species
GACGAACGCUGGCGGCGUGCUUAACACAUGCAAGUCGAACGGAAAGGCCCUGCUUUUGUGGGGUGCUCGAGUGGCGAACGGGUGAGUAACACGUGAGUACCCUGCCCUUGACUUGGGGAUAACUUCAGGAAACUGGGGCUAAUACCGGAUAGGAGCUCCUGCUGCAUGGUGGGGGUUGGAAAGUUUCGGCGGUUGGGGAUGGACUCGCGGCUUAUCAGCUUGUUGGUGGGGUAGUGGCUUACCAAGGCUUUGACGGGUAGCCGGCCUGAGAGGGUGACCGGCCACAUUGGGACUGAGAUACGGCCCAGACUCCUACGGGAGGCAGCAGUGGGGAAUAUUGCACAAUGGGCGGAAGCCUGAUGCAGCAACGCCGCGUGCGGGAUGACGGCCUUCGGGUUGUAAACCGCUUUCGCCUGUGACGAAGCGUGAGUGACGGUAAUGGGUAAAGAAGCACCGGCUAACUACGUG